rnacentral:rRNA from 1 species
GCUUACGGCCAUAUCAGCCUGGGUACGCCCGAUCUCGUCUGAUCUCGGAAGCUAAGCAGGGUCGGGCCUGGUUAGUACUUGGAUGGGAGACCGCCUGGGAAUACCACGUGCUGUAAGCA